UCUAGCCAUGAAAAAGCUUCUGUCAGGAAAAGAGCCUGUGUGCCAACCACAUAAUAUUAAUAGUCCUGGACAUGGCAAGGGUCAAGGGCAAAAAGUGGUGGUCAGCCUUACAAGACUGGAUGUUUUAAAGAGAUACUGUCUGUUAAGAAACAUGGCUUUGUGGCUGCAAAUGUCUUAUUUUCUUCUCUUCAAAAAAUUUCUGAUGAUAAAGACAGUUGAAUUAAAGUAUGAUUUAUGGAGAAGUGAUUUACAAGCAAAAUGGGGAAAGACUACCCUGCAAGACACCUCAUAGCAUAUUUACAAAAUGGGUUUAAUAUUAUGAAGAAAUGUGUUAUUUGACCAGAUUUGCUGGGAUUUCUUGUCAUCAUAUUGCCAUUUUUGUUUUUUCUAGUUCUCCUUCUCUGGGAUAGUCCCAUGUGAAGUGAUUACCUGAUGAAGGAUAGCUGUCUCUCCCUCGGUGGCUUUAUACAUAGUGUUCAAUACUUACUGUGAAAUCUGACUUAGGAGCAGGAAUGAAAUCAACUUCUGUAAGAUGCUGAAGGCCACCAAAGUUGCCAAAUUUUUCAUGUUUCCUCCACUUUGCUCGCUGAUUCUGGAACCAGAUCUGGAUAGAGGCCCUUGGAACAUCCCUUGUGCUCCAGGACUGAUUUAAUGUUAACACUGAUGAUCCAAAGUGCUUCUCAAGCAGCUUUUUAAGAACUACUGAAGGGUAGAAGACUGGCUCUACAAACCUGGGAGAAGCUGCAGUCUAUCUUCAGCAUUUCCAGAAUGAAGCAAGAAAUCC